rnacentral:pre_miRNA from 1 species
UUAACUCACAUUUGUAUGGAGUUGGAAUGUUUGCCGCUAGAGGUGCUGUUCCAACUGCAUACAAAUUUUAGUUA